AGGGUUAUGGCUUGGGUGUGAUCUAGGGUUAGGGUUUGUACGCCUGAGUCAGGGAAUUGAAGGAGGAUUUGAUGGGCUUUUGCUUGCAUUUUGAAGAGGUUUCUGGGGUUCGAAGUUUGAUUGGUGAAAUUAAUAGAUAUGGGAUUUCGAUUUUGAGUCUGGAACUCUGGAUUGCAGAAAGAGAUCGAUACACGAAUUUAUGCGCGACCUGGGACUUCCUUCACCAAACUCAAC
rnacentral:misc_RNA from 1 species